UACGAGUGGUACAAGCGUUAUCCGGAAUCAUUGGGCGUAAAGGGUGCGUAGGUGGUCUUGAUUAGUCUCUCGUUAAAACUCCCGGCUUAACCGGGAAGAUGCGAGAGAAACGGCAAGACUUAGAGGAUGUGAGAGGUGUACGGAACUCAUGGUGUAGGGGUGAAAUCCGUUGAUAUCAUGGGGAACACCAAAUGCGAAGGCAGUACACUGGCACAUACCUGACACUGAGGCACGAAAGCGUGGGUAGCGAACGGG
rnacentral:rRNA from 1 species